CUACGGGGUGCUGCAGUGGGGAAUAUUGCACAAUGGAGGAAACUCUGAUGCAGCAACGCCGCGUGGAGGAUGACACUUUUCGGAGCGUAAACUCCUUUUAUAUAGGAAGAAGAUGACGGUACUAUAUGAAUAAGCGCCGGCUAACUCCGUGCCAGCAGCCGCGGUAAUACGGGGGGCGCAAGCGUUACUCGGAAUUACUGGGCGUAAAGAGCGUGUAGGCGGAUUAAAAAGUCAGAAGUGAAAUCCUAUAGCUUAACUAUAGAACUGCUUCUGAAACUCUUAAUCUAGAAUGUGGGAGAGGUAGAUGGAAUUUCUGGUGUAGGGGUAAAAUCCGUAGAGAUCAGAAGGAAUACCGAUUGCGAAGGCGAUCUACUAGAACAUUAUUGACGCUGAGACGCGAAAGCGUGGGGAGCAAACAGGAUUAGAUACCCGCGUAGUC
rnacentral:rRNA from 1 species